rnacentral:tRNA from 1 species
GCACUCAUAGUUUAAUGUAAAACAACGGUUCUCAUCAUCUUUUUCGUUAUGCAAGUUCGAGUCUUGCUGAGUGCA